GGCAAAACAAUCGCAUGAGUGCUGCUGUUUGACUGAGGAAGAAUAAAGUAGUCGUGAAUCCAAAGGUCUCCUCAUUUGUGCUUCACAUCUUGUGUCUUCACAUAACUUCAAUUAGUCUUCCAACCAAACAAGUUUCAAGAUCUCCGUCAGGAUUGAUGGCUCUGACUUCACUUCCCUGUGUGGCGUGGGGUUGGUUUUGGACCUCACCUGUCUUGAUUCUUUUAAUGCACAGCACUAUUUUAGCACACAUUGCACUGCACCCACAGCUGUCAGACUCCUGAACGCUGCCUCCUGACAUCUGACCCACGUUAAACUCAUGGACUGAACAUACACACA